rnacentral:tRNA from 1 species
GCCGAAGUGGUGAAAUUGGUAUACACGCAGCGUUCAGAGCGCUGUGAGCAUCGCUCAUGAGAGUUCAAGUCUCUCCUUCGGCA